ensembl:lncRNA
AUACUGGAGUGGGUUGCCAUGCCCUUCUCCAUGGGAUCUUGCCGACCCAGGGAUCAAACCCCAGUCUCUGGUCUUGCAGGCUCUCUAGAAAGGCAAGAAAUUCAUCAAUCAUGCUACAUCUUCUUUUGUCACCGGGUCACAGUCCCAGAGUGAACAAGGAAACAGGGUUACCUGUGCUCAGAGGAGCCACCUACAAGGAGAGGACAAGAGAUGGGAGAAAGAAAUGGGGGUCCCUGCUGCGCCCUCCUGUCUGAGCCAAGGUUGAGUCAGGAGCCUCAUGACAGAGCUGUGCUGAGACAGAAGUUAUGUCAGAGGCUAAAUCUGACCCUGAGGAUUUUAAAGUUUGUGAAGAAUUUAUUGGGGGCCCUCAGAAGAGCGCAUUUUAAAAUACCCAUGGGAGUCUGGACUAAGCGCAAAGGAUGGAGGAACUCUGCAGAGAGAACAGAUGCUGGAGGCGUGCCUGCUGGGAGGGUCCUCUGCCAAAUGUCAGGAGUGAUGAAUGGUAGAUAUCCAUGGUCACCACUCUGCCAACCUAGUCAGACAUCUCAGUGCCAGGCUUCCCUGGUGGCUCAGUGGUAAAGAAUCCAGAAUCCACCUGCCAGUGCAGGAGACACAGGUUCCAUCCCUAAUUCGGGAAGAUCCCACUUGCCAUGGACCAACUAAGCCCGUGUGCCACAACUACUGAACCUGUGCUCUGGAUACGAGGAGCGGCAACUACUGAGCCCAGGGAUGCAAAUACUGAAGACCACGCACCUAGAGCCCGUGCUCCACGACAAGAGAAGUCACUGCAAUAAGCAGCCUGUGUACAGAAAUUAGAGAAAAACCUGUGCAGCAACAAAGACCCAGCACAGCCAAAAAUAUCAACUAAUAAAUUUUAAAAAAUGUGAGUGUGUGUGUGUAUAAAAGAAAUCUCAGAGCCAUCCCUGGCUUCUUUCUUCCCUGAACCCAGUCACACAAUCCUGUCCAUCCUCCCACUUUAAACCACCCCAAUUCUUUAAUCAACCUAUCAUCCUGACCACCAUUUCUUCAGGGCAGGGCUGGAUCUCAUAAUUCAUAGAGACGCACAUGCUUUAGGGCAUCAGCAGACCAGGGCACUGAAGAUGCAAUAGAAGUCUUAAGAUACUUUUAUAUUUGACAUAUUUUUUCAAUGCAUCUAAACAAUCAUCAUAAGAAAAGUCAGAACUUGGGUUUUCUUAUUUUACGGUUGAAAGUGAGAGUGUUAGUCACUCAGUCGUGUCCAACUCUUCGUGACCCCAUGGACUGUAGACCGCCAGGUUCCUCUUUCCAUGGGAUUCUCCAGGCUAGAAUAUUGGAAUGGGUUGCCAUGCCCUUCUCCAGGGGAUCUUCCUGAUUCAGGGAUUGAACCUGGGUCUCUGGCACUGCAGACAGACUCUUUACUGCUGAGUCUCUGCUUAAAUUUUGAAUUGCAUGUAGGAGAUAAUGAGGGUGAUGGCCUUUACAGGUCUUAAUCCCCCUAGUAGCUACUUGGCUGAAACAGUCUCCUAGCAGGCUUUUCUACUUCCCAUCUUACCCAGUUCAACUUUAUUCUGCAGCAAACUACCGGCAGGAUCUUUCUAAAAUGAAAAUAUUACUUUCCCAUUUAAAGUCCUUUAUUAAAAUGACUAUAGGACAAAAUUCAAUCUCCAUUGCAAGGUACAGAAAACUC